rnacentral:rRNA from 1 species
CUGGAGAGUGGCGCACGGGUGAGUAACGCGUGGGGACCUACCUCUUAGUGGGGGAUAACGGUUGGAAACGACCGCUAAUACCGCAUACGCCCUUCGGGGGAAAGAUUUAUCGCUAAGAGAUGGACCCGCGUUGGAUUAGAUAGUUGGUGAGGUAACGGCUCACCAAGUCAGCGAUCCAUAGCUGGUUUGAGAGGAUGAUCAGCCACACUGGGACUGAGACACGGCCCAGACUCCUACGGGAGGCAGCAGUGGGGAAUAUUGGACAAUGGGGGCAACCCUGAUCCAGCCAUGCCGCGUGAGUGAAGAAGGCCUUCGGGUUGUAAAGCUCUUUCAGAUGCGAAGAUGAUGACGGUAACAUCAGAAGAAGCCCCGGCUAAUUUCGUGCCAGCAGCCGCGGUAAUACGAAAGGGGCUAGCGUUGUUCGGAUUUACUGGGCGUAAAGGGCACGCAGGCGGUCUUGCCAGUCA